rnacentral:rRNA from 1 species
GACGAACGCUGGCGGCGUGCUUAACACAUGCAAGUCGAGCGAUGAAGUUCCUGCGGGAAUGGAUUAGCGGCGGACGGGUGAGUAACACGUGGGUAACCUGCCUCAUAGAGGGGAAUAGCCUUCCGAAGGAAGAUUAAUACCGCAUAAGAUUGUAGUACCGCACGGUACAGCAAUUAAAGGAGCAAUCCGCUAUGAGAUGGACCCGCGUCGCAUUAGCUAGUUGGUGAGGUAACGGCUCACCAAGGCGACGAUGCGUAGCCGACCGGAGAGGGGGAUCGGCCACAUUGGGACGGAGACACGGCCCAGACUGCUACGGGAGGCAGCAGUGGGGAAUAUUGCACAAUGGGGGAAACCCUGAUGCAGCAACGCCGCGUGAGUGAUGACGGUCUUCGGAUUGUAAAACUCUGUCUUCAGGGACGAUAAUGACGGUACCUGAGGAGGAAGCCACGGCUAACUACGUGCCAGCAGCCGCCGUAA